rnacentral:misc_RNA from 1 species
GAUGAAGAACGCAGCGAAAUGCGAUAAGUAGUGUGAAUUGCAGAAUUCAGUGAAUCAUCGAAUCUUCGAACGCACAUUGCGCCUCCUGGUAUUCCGGGAGGCAUGCCUGUUCGAGCGUCAUUAAAAUCACUCAAGCUUAGGUUUACCUAUUGCUUGGUCUUGGAGAUGGAAGCCAAUUUAUUGGAAUCCUCUUCGAAAUUCAAUGGCGAAGACCCUUGCUCUCCCAAGUGUAGUAAUAACUUAUGUCACUGAAGGAAGCGAGAAAUCUUCUGCCGUAACCCCCAUAUUUUCUAUGAUUGACCUCGGAUCAGGUAGGGAUACCCGCUGAACUUAAGCAUAUCAAUAAGCGGAGGA